UACAGAGGGUGCAAGCGUUGUUCGGAAUUAUUGGGCGUAAAGCGCGUGUAGGCGGCUUUGCAAGUCGGGUGUGAAAGCCCUCAGCUCAACUGAGGAAGUGCGCCCGAAACUGCAGAGCUUGAGUGCCGGAGAGGGUGGCGGAAUUCCCCCAAGUAGAGGUGAAAUUCGUAGAUAUGGGGAGGAACACCGGUGGCGAAGGCG
rnacentral:rRNA from 1 species